UUUUACAGGUUGACCUCGGAUCAGGUACUGGAGUGAGGGCCCUCUGGGUCCAACCUCCCACCCGUGUUUAUUGUACCUUGUUGCUUCGGUGCGCCCGCCUCACGGCCGCCGGGGGGCUUCUGCCCCCGGGUCCGCGCGCACCGGAGACACUAUUGAACUCUGUCUGAAGAUUGCAGUCUGAGCAUAAACUAAAUAAGUUAAAACUUUCAACAACGGAUCUCUUGGUUCCGGCAUCGAUGAAGAACGCAGCGAAAUGCGAUAACUAAUGUGAAUUGCAGAAUUCAGUGAAUCAUCGAGUCUUUGAACGCACAUUGCGCCCCCUGGUAUUCCGGGGG
rnacentral:rRNA from 1 species